GAUGAAGAACGUAGCGAAAUGCGAUAAGUAAUGUGAAUUGCAGAAUUCAAUGAAUCAUCGAAUCUUUGAACGCACAUUGCGCCCGCCAGUAUUCUGCCGGGCAUGCCUGUUCGAGCGUCAUUUCAACCAUCAAGCCCCAGCGCUUGUGUUGGGGGCCUGCGGCUGCCGCAGCCCCCUAAAAGCAGUGGCGGGCUCGCUAUCACACCGAGUGCAGUAGUUCAUCUUCUCUCCGGUCUUGUGAGGCGGGUUCCGGCCGUGAAACACCCCACUACAUUCAAGGUUGACCUCGGAUCAGGUAGGAAUACCCGCUGAACUUAAGCAUAUCAAUAAGCGGAGGA
rnacentral:misc_RNA from 1 species